AGAGUUUGAUCAUGGCUCAGGAUGAACGCUAGCUACAGGCUUAACACAUGCAAGUCGAGGGGAAACGACAUCGAAAGCUUGCUUUUGAUGGGCGUCGGCCGGCGCACGGGUGAGUAACGCGUAUCCAACCUGCCCACCACUUGGGGAUAACCUUGCGAAAGUAAGACUAAUACCCAAUGACGUCUCUAGAAGACAUCUGAAAGAGAUUAAAGAUUUAUCGGUGAUGGAUGGGGAUGCGUCUGAUUAGCUUGUUGGCGGGGUAACGGCCCGACCAAGGCGACGAUCAGUAGGGGUUCUGGAGAGGAAGGUCCCCCACAUUGGAACUGAGACACGGUCCAAACUCCUACGGGAGCA
rnacentral:rRNA from 1 species